rnacentral:SRP_RNA from 1 species
GCCAGGCGUUGGUGGCGCACGCCUUUAAUCCCAGCACUCGGAAGGCAGAGGCAGGUGGAUCUCUGUGAGUUCGAGGCCAGCCUGGUCUACCAAGCGAGGUCCAGGACAGCCUCCAAGCCACAGAGAAACCCUGUCUCGAAAAAAAAAAUUUUGCUAAAUAUAUAUGUUUCUUUUUUUUUUUUUUUUUUUUGGUUUUUCCGAGACAGGGUUUCUCUGUGGCUUUGGAGGCUGUCCUGGAACUCACUUUGUAGACCAGGCUGGCCUCGAACUCAACAGAGAUCCGCCUGCCUCUG